rnacentral:lncRNA from 1 species
UCAGCUCUUUCUCAAGCUUCACUAAUGCCGUUCACAGACCGACUGGGCAAAUGAUGCUCCUGACAAUAAGGAAGCAGCACAUUGUCUGCUUGUGACAAUGUGGGGCUCUUGUGGCAGCCUCCUGGGGGUCCAGCAUUAUCAACCACGGUUAACAGGAAGCAUCUGAAGAUGUGUUCUUAUUUGGGGUCAAAGCGGAUCUGAACGCCAUCCAUAAACGUGCAGCACUGUGAACAGAACAGCGGAUUCCUGAAAUGAUGUAUGUGUCUGCCAGGAUCAACCACGGGCCCUGCCAGAUCCUUGUGGGAGAUGAGAUGCCAGAGAGCAGCCUGUCAAACAAAGAAAAGCCGAAAUGGCAGCACCGCCUCCCAUGGCAGGAAAUGUAGAAAAUGUUCCUUGGAAUCCAGCUCCCCUUUGUGUAAUCAUGACAAUACCGAGAUACCAACCCAUUUGCUCCUGAGAAUAAUUACGAGUAACAUGCGUGUAAUCCUCAAGAGUUUAUCAAGUGCUCCCGUGGGUGUUAUCUUAUUGAUUGUGUUCGCACUUGGAGUGUGUGGACAGCCCGGGUGAGGAGUCCUCAAGUCUUCGUAUGUCAGCUUGCUUAAGUGGGUCUGUCUCCUUUCCAAAGUGGAGCCAUGGAAACUGUGGCAGCCACUAGGAUGCGGCGGUGUCCUGCCUUUAAAUGACUUGCCUCCCAGCAGUCUCGGAAAUGAAAAAUUACUCGGAAUCCCCAUUGUAGUAAAUUUCCCAUUUUCCCCUUUAUAUUUUGAGUUCUCCAAAUUUUUGGAGAUAAGCAUGGACUACCUUUGUAAUCAGAAAAAAACAAAAUACUUAUAAAAUCCAGGGAAGCAUGCAUUUGAAUGGUACCCCGGCUGAUGAGAUUUGCCUCCCAGGGCAAGCCUGGCCUUGGGGAUUGGCUGGCUGCUUUGGCCAAGCUUCCUGAACCAGAAGAGUCAUCGCAUUUUUGAACUGGGGCCAUCGAGAACUUCUAGUCACCCCCUUAGCACACCAGCCAGUGUGCAGAGAAUGUAACCAGCCAGAAGCUGUGUCCUACUUCUCCAAAAUAGAUACUUGGAAAGCUCUAUGCCCGCAGAGGGAAGCCAAAGAUAUUGAUCCCUUAGCUGAAGUGAGAUGAAUUCUGGACAUGUUCUUUUCUCUU